rnacentral:lncRNA from 1 species
UCUCGCAUUGUUGGAGUAGCCCGCUUCACGCUCCUGUUCUGCUCUGUGUUCCAUCAGUACAUCUCCAGAUCUCCACAACCGGCUGAAAGGUAGUACUAACAUUUUCCCAUAGUUCUUUUUGUCAGCCAAAACCAACGACUUCGUAAUUGCAUUGCUUUAGUCAAUUUGUUUCGUUGUUAUUUGUUAGCAGAAAAAAAUAGAAAAUCAAGAUGAAGAGGACCUGGACAGUUCAUAUGGUCUUGUUUUCCAAAAUGGCAAAUGAACAGUCGACUUGGUUUAUCUCUAUUUCUUGAUUUUAAAUACUCAUUUUUAUGUUUACAACUCCAGGUCCUUCUACUAUUGCCGAUGAAGAAAUUAUCUGUCUCAAAUGAAGCAAGCCUUCAUUUAUUUGGUAUCACGGUUUGCAAUGAUGCACUUUGUUAGAUCGAUGGCAUGUUUAUUGAAAUUGCUCUUGUGGCAAUAAGGAAUUAAUGUUUUACUCUUUAUCAGAAUUUAUGGUGUACUUCUAACAUUCAAUCGUAUGUGUUAUUUUCGGC